AUUACCGCGGCUGCUGGCACGUAGUUAGCCGGUGCUUAUUCUUCAGGUACCGUCAUUACUCCAAGGUAUUAGCCCGGAGCGUUUCUUCCCUGACAAAAGCGGUUUACAACCCGAAGGCCUUCUUCCCGCACGCGGCAUGGCUGGAUCAGGCUUGCGCCCAUUGUCCAAAAUUCCCCACUGCUGCCUCCCGUAGG
rnacentral:rRNA from 1 species